UACGGAGGGUGCAAGCGUUAUCCGGAUUCACUGGGUUUAAGGGGUGCGUAGGCGGCUAGAUAAGUCCGGUGUGAAAGUCACAGGCUCAACCUGUGAAUGCCGCUGGAAACUGUCUGGCUAGAGUCCGGAAGGGGCGAGUGGAAUUCCUGGUGUAGCGGUGAAAUGCGCAGAUAUCAGGAGGAACACCAAUGGCGAAGGCAGCUCGCUGGGACGGUACUGACGCUGAGGCGCGAAAGCGUGGGGAGCGAACAGG
rnacentral:rRNA from 1 species